rnacentral:sRNA from 1 species
CCUCACUCGCGCGUUAGGAGGCUCGGGUCGUUGUGGUGCGCCGUGUUCCCGCUUGCGUCAGGGACCUGCCCGACUCAGUGGCCGCCAUGGCAUCAGAUGAAGGCAAACUUUUUGUUGGAGGGCUGAGUUUUGACACCAAUGAGCAGUCGCUGGAGCAGGUCUUCUCAAAGUACGGACAGAUCUCUGAAGUGGUGGUUGUGAAAGACAGGGAGACCCAGAGAUCUCGGGGAUUUGGGUUUGUCACCUUUGAGAACAUUGACGACGCUAAGGAUGCCAUGAUGGCCAUGAAUGGGAAGGUGAGGAUCAGGGUGCUGAGCGGGAGUCCCAUCUCGAGGAUGGGGCACCCACCCGCUAACCCGUCCCGCCCUCUGUCUCCAGUCUGUAGAUGGACGGCAGAUCCGAGUAGACCAGGCAGGCAAGUCGUCAGACAACCGAUCCCGUGGGUACCGUGGUGGCUCUGCCGGGGGCCGGGGCUUCUUCCGCGGGGGCCGAGGACGGGGCCGUGGGUUCUCUAGAGGAGGAGGGGACCGAGGCUAUGGGGGGAACCGGUUCGAGUCCAGGAGUGGGGGCUACGGAGGCUCCAGAGACUACUAUAGCAGCCGGAGUCAGAGUGGUGGCUACAGUGACCGGAGCUCGGGCGGGUCCUACAGAGACAGUUAUGACAGUUACGCUACACACAACGAGUAAAAACCCUUCCUGCUCAAGAUCGUCCUUCCAAUGGCUGUGUGUUUAAAGAUUGUGGGAGCUUCGCUGAACGUUAAUGUGUAGUAAACGCACCUCCUUGUAUUCCCACUUU